AAGGACUCUUUUUAAUUUUUCAAAAAGGCCCAAUGUGUAUAUAAUCCUUGAAAGCCCAUAUACUUAGUCAUAAUUAAAAAAAGGCCCAUUUACUUUGUUGCAUAUCACAUGUAUGGCACGUGACCUCAGAACAUUACAAAGCGCGCGGGAUUCAACCGCCGAUAACCAACGUCCUCAGGCUGGAAAUUUCAGGAAAUUAUACAACGAGCCCCAGAUCUGAAAUAUCUGUUGCACCUGGAUCCUGGAACCCCCUUUAGAUCCAAAACCACCUGCAACUGGGCUUCAAACAACAAUGGCGAAAGUGGAAGAGGUGCACCAAGAGUCAAAUGGCAACAACAUCGUGAAGCAGAAAAAGAGGAGGAACCAUGGCUCAACGGAGUUCUUCGUCUUCGUGGAUUACGUUUUCCUCUCGAUCUUCUUUGCGUUCCUCUGCUUCAUCAUCUUCAAGAUUAUACUCGGCACCACAUCCGAUUCCUUUUCACUCUAGAGACCGACAUUCUUUUCAAUCAGGUACAAGUGCAAGCUUGAAGGCCUAACCCGGCGUUGACUUGUCAGAUUCAGAUUCUGCGAUCUCAAAUUCGUGACGUUUUCUUGGUAUCGAAAAAUCAUGUGCCCUUUUGAUCAAAUGUGAUUUAGAAACAAUUGCUUUUUAUGGCCUGUAAUUCUGGGAACAUAUAUAUGCAUAUUGAAGUGGAUCAUAUCAGUGUAAUAUGAAUGUUAAUCUCUACGAAUUGGUAUCAUGUACUAUUCAUAUAUGAACUUGGUUGAUGGGUUAUGCCUUUCUUUU